rnacentral:tRNA from 2 species
GCCCGGGUGGCGAAAUUGGUAGACGCAACGGACUUAAAAUCCGUCGGUGGCAACACUGUGCCGGUUCAAGUCCGGCCCCGGGCACCA